rnacentral:sRNA from 1 species
UUGCGUGUAGGACAGAAAACCAGGACGGAUUGUCCGGCUGUGUGUCUCAAAAGUAUGGGGAAGAGCUCUUUAUCGAGUCUAUUGGCGAGCGCCCAGUCAUUUCCGGUGGACUCGAUGCCGUAAGUUUCACGUUGAAGAGGAACGGGCCUGUAUUCCUCCCCGAACUACUGAGCUCGUUAGUUUACGACUAGCAUCAGAUAACAAUUAUUAACUUUAUAAACUUUGGCCAUGGGCAUAUCGUCAACUGCCAGUGCCCUCUUUUCUUUCGCGUUGAUCACUUCCCUUCCGACGAGAACCCCUCUCGACAGUUGGCCAUAUUCAUUUCUGGUCGGUCCUAGCCAACGAGCGAUGUCGUCGAUAUUUGGCACUGUUGCGCUGAGCGCCACAAAGCGUAUUCCCCUACCAAGUCCUUUCAGACGAGAUAUGACGACUUCCAAGGUGGCACCCCGGCUUUCGCGCAAGAUGUGGACCUGUGUAUCGGUCAGAAAUGAGACACUCAAUACUUGUUCUCACCUCAUCAAUCAUGAUUAAUUGCAGUCGUUGAGACAUGUUCUCUAAAUUUCGGGAUCGACGCGUCAUAGAGUCGAAUUUCUCUGGCUGUGGACUAUCAGAGCCUGCAACCAUCCCAUUCGAUUGUGGAUGUAUUGCCAUAAUCACCAGUUAUUUCGCUACCUGGUUCACCCGUUAAUGCAUUACAAAAUUGAUGACCCA